GGGCAGGUGGCGAAACUGGCAGACGCUGGAGACUUAAAAUCUCCCGGCCGCAAGGUCAUGCGGGUUCGAGUCCCGCCCUGCCCA
rnacentral:tRNA from 1 species